rnacentral:rRNA from 1 species
GACGAACGCUGGCGGCAGGCCUAACACAUGCAAGUCGAGCGGAGCUGCGGACGGGUGAUUAAUGCCUAGGAAUCUGCCUGGUAGUGGGGGAUAACGUCCGGAAACGGGCGCUAAUACCGCAUACUAUCAGCUGAGCAUAGGUCGGAUUAGCUAGUUGGUGGGGUAAAGGUCUACCAAGGCGACGAUCCGUAACUGGUCUGAGAUGAUGAUCAGUCAAACUGGAACUGAGACACGGUCCAGACUCCUACGGGAGGCAGCAGGGGGGAAUAUUGGACAAGGGGCGAAAGCCUGAUGCAGCGACGCCGCGUGGGGGAUGAAGGCUUUCGGUUUGUAAACCUCUUUCGCUAUCGAACGGGUAGGUGGAGAAGAAGCGCCGGCUAACUACGUGCCAGCAGCCGCGGUAAUAC